GAUGAACGCUGGCGGCGUGCCUAAUACAUGCAAGUCGAGCGAACGGACGAGAAGCUUGCUUCUCUGAUGUUAGCGGCGGACGGGUGAGUAACACGUGGAUAACCUACCUAUAAGACUGGGAUAACUUCGGGAAACCGGAGCUAAUACCGGAUAAUAUUUUGAACCGCAUGGUUCAAAAGUGAAAGACGGUCUUGCUGUCACUUAUAGAUGGAUCCGCGCUGCAUUAGCUAGUUGGUAAGGUAACGGCUUACCAAGGCAACGAUGCAUAGCCGACCUGAGAGGGUGAUCGGCCACACUGGAACUGAGGCACGGUCCAGACUCCUACGGGAGGCAGCAGUAGGGAAUCUUCGGCAAUGGGCGAAAGCCUGACGGAGCAACGCCGCGUGAGUGAUGAAGGUCUUCGGAUCGUAAAACUCUGUUAUUAGGGAAGAACAUAUGUGUAAGUAACUGUGCACAUCUUGACGGUACCUAAUCAGAAAGCCACGGCUAACUACGUG
rnacentral:rRNA from 1 species